UCCCUAAAGAGUUGGAUGCCGAGCUAGU
rnacentral:piRNA from 1 species